rnacentral:rRNA from 1 species
ACGCGCGGAACCUUACCAGGUCUUGACAUCCCAUUGACCGCUAUGGAGACAUAGCUUUCCCUUUUAGGGACAGUGGUGACAGGUGGUGCAUGGUUGUCGUCAGCUCGUGUCGUGAGAUGUUGGGUUAAGUCCCGCAACGAGCGCAACCCUUGAUCUUAGUUGCCAGCAUUAAGUUGGGCACUCUAAGGUGACUGCCGGUGACAAACCGGAGGAAGGUGGGGAUGACGUCAAAUCAUCAUGCCCCUUAUGACCUGGGCUACACACGUGCUACAAUGGAUGGUACAAAGGGCAGCAAAACCGCGAGGUCGAGCAAAUCCCAUAAAACCAUUCUCAGUUCGGAUUGUAGGCUGCAACUCGCCUACAUGAAGCUGGAAUCGCUAGUAAUCGCGGAUCAGCAUGCCGCGGUGAAUACGUUCCCGGGCCUUGCACACACCGCCCGU